ensembl:snRNA RNU6-1158P RNA, U6 small nuclear 1158, pseudogene
GUGCUCACUACAGCAGCACAUAUACUAAAAUUGGAACAAUACAGAGAAGGUUAGCAUGGCCCCUGAACAAGGAUGACAUGCAAAUUCAUGAAAUGUUCCAUAUUUUU